CUUUCGAUAGCUUAACUGGUUAGAGCGCACGCAGAUCUCGUUAGAUGGUGGUUCGAGUCCACCUCGAAAGG
rnacentral:tRNA from 1 species